CUCUGCAAUAACAAACCAGCUGAAAACAAAAUCUUACCUUGUCAAUGCCCAAACGCAAACUCAGAAGUGAAGCAGGGUGGGGCCUGGUUAGUAUUUGGAUGGGAGACCACUGGGAAACAGGCUGCCACAGUGG
rnacentral:rRNA from 1 species